UGGGGAGGGGACAUAGCUCAGUGGUAGAGCAUCCGCCUUGGAUUCAGAAGGUCCCAAGUUCAAUCUAUGGCAUCCUAA